ACAGAGGGUGCAAGCGUUAAUCGGAAUGACUGGGCGUAAAGGGCGAGUAGGCGGUAGAUCAAGUGGGAUGAGAAAGACACAGGCUUAACCUGUGAAGGGAAUCCCAGACUGAGAUACUAGGAGGCCAGUAGAGGGGAGUAGAAUUUCCAGUGUAGCGGUGAAAUGCGUAGAGAUUGGAAAGAAUACCAGUGGCGAAGGCGGCUCUCUGGACUGGAACUGACGCUGAGGAGCGAGAGCAUGGGGAGCAAACAG
rnacentral:rRNA from 1 species